GAUGAAUGCUGCUUCGAUGCAAAUCAACCAGAGGGAAGAAAAUGCAAACUGAAACCUGGGAAACAGUGCAGUCCAAGUCAAGGUCCUUGUUGUACAGCACAGUGUGCAUUCAAGUCAAAGUCUGAGAAGUGUCGGGAUGAUUCAGACUGUGCAAGGGAAGGAAUAUGUAAUGGCUUCACAGCUCUCUGCCCAGCAUCUGACCCUAAACCAAACUUCACAGACUGUAAUAGGCAUACACAAGUGUGCAUUAAUGGGCAAUGUGCAGGUUCUAUCUGUGAGAAAUAUGGCUUAGAGGAAUGUACGUGUGCCAGUUCUGAUGGCAAAGAUGAUAAAGAAUUAUGCCAUGUAUGCUGUAUGAAGAAAAGUAAGGCUUUUAAAAACACAAGAGUAUAAAAUCUGCCUCAAACUAUUAUUUUCUCCUAAAUUUUAAGUGUAA
rnacentral:sRNA from 1 species